ACUGUUCUGGAGAAAUGGGAUAGGGUGGAAAUGUUUGUAGUGACAUCACAGCCAGUUCCAUGCCAAUGGCCUCCUACUGCUGCAAACAUGUGAUUGUGAUUUUGCUGCACGCUCCAUCAGAAAAGUGCCAGACUGGUCGGGGAGGGAGGGAGAGGGAGGGAGGAGAAGGGGCGGAAAUAUUCUGUUCUUGUAUCUUAAUUCAAAUAUCUGACAAUAGCCUUGCAGCCCAGGGUGCUGAGUGAUCAGGAGUGGAACCAUGUUGCUGAGGCUGCUGCCAGAUCAGCAGAGUUCAGGGUGUUGCAGCAACCUAACUGAGGGCUGAAUAAGGACCUUUGAUUUUAUAGUGGAGGGUCUUGAUCUGCAUUGUUGUGCUUUAUUGGAGAGUUGGGUGGUCUUGUUGUGCUCACUCUUCCUCAGUGCUCCCAUUUGCUUCUAACGUCAUUUUUCUUGGCAAGAAGAAUGUACAGGCCUGAAAUAUGGCUACAAAAGCAACUGCAGAGUUGUUGUCUUUUAGGGGUUCCCAUUAUAGAAGGGAACAGAUCUCAGUGUUGAAGUUUCACUCAUGAAGCAGGAAGCAGCAGGAAGGGAUUUAAAUAGCUUGAGGAUAGAGACAGAAAGGAGAAAAGAGAGGAAAGAAACAGAAGUCAACACAGAAAAUAAAACUAGCCUGAGGGCAUUGUAGGAGGAAAUCUCAUGUCCAUUGCUCCAAAGAUGGCACUGAUUGGUGCAAAGCCCAUCUUGGUAGCAAGAUCCUUCCCGAGAAACAGCCAGUGGAGAUCAGCCCUGGCUGUGUCCAGCACAUGUAACCUUGGGGGGCUGUGGAGAGGAGCAGUAUCUGCCAGGGGGGACAGGAGAGCAAAGGGAUCCAGCUAAUGCACUCGUCUAUCAGAUUAGGCCAACCACUUCCAUCACUGCCCAAGAAGAGACUCUCACUCCCUGCUUAAUGGGAUGUCGGUCCUGUUGUUGUCACUCCAGGGAGAGGGGCUGCUGCCACCACAGCGUGCAGCAGGCUGUGAGUUUAAAAUCCUAUUAGACGGAGACUAACAGUUGCAAAAAGAAAGCAGGUAUCCCCUAGUGGGGAUUUAAAGAUGUUUAGACGUAAUUUGAUUUUCCAAGCAGAUGUCAUUAUUGUUAAACAGUUGCCCACUUGAUAUGUUCAAGUUGUUGGCUGUAAUUGCUAAAAUUAGCAGGUCUGCACAGAGCAAAGGUCAGUUGGUUAAUAUUGUGAUUUAGUAUUUUAUGAAGUAAUUCCAAAUGCUUUUAUGUAUGUUUUUGUUUUUGCAGCCUAAGCCCACAUUAAAGUAGUUGUGGGCCAUGCUAAUAAAAUAAUGACACAGCCUCCCAGCACAGACCGCCAGCCAGGCUCGGCAACGGUGCUCAAGCCACCUUUGGUCCCUGCUCUGCCUGGUGCCCCGGGCCAGCCGGGGCCCUGCAUUUGGGUUUGGAGCUGCGGUCAAACAGGAGGCUUCCAACUGCCCCCCAGUGUGACAUCUUCAAGCAGAGCUGGUGCUGGAAAUGAGCCCAUCAAGUCCAGCAGUGACUGGAAGGAUGAGGGGCCAGUGCGCACGAGGGUCUGCCGCAGGUACCCGUGGUCUUCUGAGGUGGAUCGACUGCACAUGCAAGUGCAUGCAAGCACCUUCAGCCAGGAAGACACCUGAAAGACUCACCACCAACCAGACAAUAAUCUCAGAAAGUGCUGAGAGGCAUUGUGUGGCCUGCACAGGAAGAUAUGGUAGAGGACCUCCUGGACUUGAAACUCACUGGGGUCUGAGGGCAAAGGAGUUCUACAUGAGUGGUUUCUCACCAGCACCAUUGAUUCUGUGACAAGGCCGGGGUCCUUUUAUCUAAGCCAAACAAGUCAGAGACAUUUGUUCCAAGUUCUUCGACUAUCCAAACAAACAUGAGUCGUGCUUCGCUCCACCAGUCAAACUGUCAUCAGAUGCCCCCCUGUGGGGCAGCCCUGUUGGGAGGGGAUGCUGUGCUCACCCUCGGAGCCGUGUUCCCGGGGAGCACGGUCAGGGAUGGGCACACUGGGCC